rnacentral:rRNA from 1 species
AUUGAACGCUGGCGGCAGGCCUAACACAUGCAAGUCGAGCGGAAACGGGUUAUCUGAACCUUCGGGGAACGAUAACGGCGUCGAGCGGCGGACGGGUGAGUAAUGCCUAGGAAAUUGCCCUGAUGUGGGGGAUAACCAUUGGAAACGAUGGCUAAUACCGCAUGAUGCCUACGGGCCAAAGAGGGGGACCUUCGGGCCUCUCGCGUCAGGAUAUGCCUAGGUGGGAUUAGCUAGUUGGUGAGGUAAGGGCUCACCAAGGCGACGAUCCCUAGCUGGUCUGAGAGGAUGAUCAGCCACACUGGAACUGAGACACGGUCCAGACUCCUACGGGAGGCAGCAGUGGGGAAUAUUGCACAAUGGGCGCAAGCCUGAUGCAGCCAUGCCGCGUGUGUGAAGAAGGCCUUCGGGUUGUAAAGCACUUUCAGUCGUGAGGAAGGUAGUGUAGUUAAUAGCUGCAUUAUUUGACGUUAGCGACAGAAGAAGCACCGGCUAACUCCGUGCCAGCAGCCGCGGUAAUACGGAGGGUGCGAGCGUUAAUCGGAAUUACUGGGCGUAAAGCGCAUGCAGGUGGUUUGUUAAGUCAGAUGUGAAAGCCCGGGGCUCAACCUCGGAAUAGCAUUUGAAACUGGCAGACUAGAGUACUGUAGAGGGGGGUAGAAUUUCAGGUGUAGCGGUGAAAUGCGUAGAGAUCUGAAGGAAUACCGGUGGCGAAGGCGGCCCCCUGGACAGAUACUGACACUCAGAUGCGAAAGCGUGGGGAGCAAACAGGAUUAGAUACCCUGGUAGUCCACGCCGUAAACGAUGUCUACUUGGAGGUUGUGGCCUUGAGCCGUGGCUUUCGGAGCUAACGCGUUAAGUAGACCGCCUGGGGAGUACGGUCGCAAGAUUAAAACUCAAAUGAAUUGACGGGGGCCCGCACAAGCGGUGGAGCAUGUGGUUUAAUUUGAUGCAACGCGAAGAACCUUACCUACUCUUGACAUCCAGAGAACUUUCCAGAGAUGGAUUGGUGCCUUCGGGAACUCUGAGACAGGUGCUGCAUGGCUGUCGUCAGCUCGUGUUGUGAAAUGUUGGGUUAAGUCCCGCAACGAGCGCAACCCUUAUCCUUGUUUGCCAGCGAGUAAUGUCGGGAACUCCAGGGAGACUGCCGGUGAUAAACCGGAGGAAGGUGGGGACGACGUCAAGUCAUCAUGGCCCUUACGAGUAGGGCUACACACGUGCUACAAUGGCGCAUACAGAGGGCGGCCAACUUGCGAAAGUGAGCGAAUCCCAAAAAGUGCGUCGUAGUCCGGAUUGGAGUCUGCAACUCGACUCCAUGAAGUCGGAAUCGCUAGUAAUCGUGGAUCAGAAUGCCACGGUGAAUACGUUCCCGGGCCU